rnacentral:misc_RNA from 1 species
UUGUAAUUCACAAGGUAGUUCACUUUGCGAUGAAGCUCUAUGAGGAGUCUGUGUUCAUAAUACCUCAACCCUUGUAUCUCUUGCUUCAAGUCUCUAAUCUCUUGUUCGAUAAUCUUGAGUCUCUGCAAAACUUGUUCCACCCCUUUUGCAAUUCCAGAAAAACUUGGAUCAACUGUGUCCAGUUCAUUACCUGGCUGAUCUGUACCAUCUGGAUUUCUUUCUGGUGGGACUUCCAAUUCUGCAGCAAGGUCAUACAAGUCAUUAUAUCUUCUGUGCAAUGCUUCCCGG